rnacentral:tRNA from 1 species
GCCCGGCUAGCUCAAUCGGUAGAGCGUGAGACUCUUAAUCUCAAGGUUGUGGGUUCGACCCCCACGUCGGGCA